UGGGGAAUCUUCCGCAAUGGACGAAAGUCUGACGGAGCAACGCCGCGUGAGUGAAGAAGGUUUUCGGAUCGUAAAAACUCUGUCUUUUGGGGCGAACGUGAGUAUGGUGAACAAUCAUAGUCAGUGACGGUACCAAAGGAGGAAGCCACGGCUAACUACGUGCCAGCAGCCGCGGUAAUACGUAGGUGGCAAGCGUUGUCCGGAAUUAUUGGGCGUAAAGAGCGCGUAGGCGGGAUAGUCAGUCUGUUGUAAAAGUGCGGGGCUCAACCCCGUGAUGGCAAUGGAAACAGCUAUUCUUGAGUGCAGGAGAGGAAAGGUGGAAUUCCCAGUGUAGCGGUGAAAUGCGUAGAUAUUGGGAGGAACACCAGUGGCGAAGGCGACUUUCUGGGACUGUGUCUGACGCUGAGGCGCGAAAAGCCAGGGGGAGGCGAACGGGAUUAGAUACCCCCGGUAGUCCUGGCCGUAAACGAUGGGUACUAGGUGUGGGAGGUAUCGACCCCCUUCCGUGCCGGAGUUAACGCAAAUAAGUACCCCCGCCUGGGGAGUACGGUCGCAAGACUGAAACUUAAAUGAAUUGACGGGGGUCAUAGCUGUUUCCUG
rnacentral:rRNA from 1 species